UUUCCGUAGGUGAACCUGCGGAAGGAUCAUUACCGAGUGAGGGCCCCUCGGGGCCCAACCUCCCAUCCGUGUUUAACGAACCUUGUUGCUUCGGCGGGCCCGCCUCACGGCCGCCGGGGGGCAUUUGACCCCGGGCCCGCGCCCGCCGAAGCUACAUAUGAACGCUGUCUGAAGUAGGCAGUCGGGGACAAUUAUUAAUUUAAUUAAAACUUUCAACAACGGAUCUCUUGGUUCCG
rnacentral:misc_RNA from 1 species